CACUUAGCCAGUUAGCUCUCCGACUCUGAUGGAUAGCAUGGAUAGCAUAUACAGUAUCUUCCGUAGGGGCACAGUCCUUCGGCUUAUUGGACCAACAGACAAUGAAGGAUUCUGACAGCUGGGUGACUUCUUCAAGCCCCAAGAUCAGAUUGAAGUUGGUGAAGAUGGCUUUAAGCAGUACGAUGUCAUCACUGCUCUGGACAUGGACGCCAUGAUGAGUAGGAUCUACGCGUGGCUGGAGAACCCGGUGAAGUUUGAGAAGUCUCAUGGCGUUAAUAACACCCUGGACACAGAGAUGGUCCCGAAGUCCGAUCACAAGGAGGAGGAGGAGCCUCACAUCCUCAUUGUGGAGGGCUUCCUGCUUCACACCUACAGGAUUUGAUGGACGUGCUAAACUAACGUUACUUUAUUUCCAUCCCAUAUGAAGAAUGCAAAAAGAGGAGGUGCUCUAGGAAGUCCAUGGUACCAAAAUAUCUGUUGUACCCCCCUGUGCCCCCCCCCAAAAAAAAAUAAUCUGGAUCCGCCCCUGAGCAUAUAUCUUCUCCCCAAAAACAAGACCAAGUGUCUUUAAGUGGACUACAGAAAUUAUCACAAGAACGCACUGUAAACUUAAACGUUUUUGCCGCCUUCUUUUUUUUUUGCUAUGAGCAUACCAUAGAAGUGUUAUUUUUAUACUUUUAUAGUGCUAAUGUUACUCCCUCUUCUGGAAAAGCUGAAGAAGUGCAACAGAAACAGGACUCGAGGUUUCAAUGGGGUUUGUAUUGCUGUAAACAGGUCCUCGAUGAAAACAUCGGGCAUUAAAGAAAACUUACAGUACAUUACAAGUCAUUUUAUGGCAUAAUGAGAAUAUAUAUCAGCAUUAAAAAUCCAAACAUGUACAAACUGAAGGCUGCUAACAUC